rnacentral:rRNA from 1 species
AGUGAACGCUGGCGGUAGGCCUAACACAUGCAAGUCGAACGGCAGCACAGUAAGAGCUUGCUCUUACGGGUGGCGAGUGGCGGACGGGUGAGGAAUACAUCGGAAUCUACUUUUUCGUGGGGGAUAACGUAGGGAAACUUACGCUAAUACCGCAUACGACCUACGGGUGAAAGCAGGGGAUCUUCGGACUUUGCGCGAUUGAAUGAGGCGAUGUCGGAUUAGCUAGUUGGGGGGGUAAAGGCCCACCAAGGCAACGAUCCGUAGCUGGUCUGAGAGGAUGAUCAGCCACACUGGAACUGAGACACGGUCCAGACUCCUACGGGAGGCAGCAGUGGGGAAUAUUGGACAAUGGGCGCAAGCCUGAUCCAGCCAUACCGCGUGGGUGAAGAAGGCCUUCGGGUUGUAAAGCCCUUUUGUUGGGAAAGAAAAGCAGCAGGUUAAUACCCCGCUGUUCUGACGGUACCCAAAGAAUAAGCACCGGCUAACUUCGUG